UACGUAGGGUGCGAGCGUUAAUCGGAAUUACUGGGCGUAAAGCGCUCGUAGGCGGUUUGUCGCGUCUGCUGUGAAAACCUAAGGCUCAACCUUGGGCUUGCAGUGGGUACGGGCAGACUAGAGUGCGGUAGGGGUGACUGGAAUUCCUGGUGUAGCGGUGGAAUGCGCAGAUAUCAGGAGGAACACCGAUGGCGAAGGCAGGUCACUGGGCCGCAACUGACGCUGAGGAGCGAAAGCAUGGGGAGCGAACAGG
rnacentral:rRNA from 1 species